rnacentral:rRNA from 1 species
GAGUUUGUAUCCUGGCUCAAGGACGAAACGCUGGCGGCGUGCCUAAUACAUGCAAGUCGAGCGAGGGUUUUUAAGAACCCUAGCGGCGGACGGGUAGAGUAACACGUAGGCAACCUGCCUCUCAGACCCGGGAUAACAUAGGAAACUUAUGCUAAUACCGGAUAGGUUUUUGGAUUGCAUGAUCCGAAAAGAAAAGAUGGCUUUUUGCUAUCACUGGGAGAUGGGCCUGCGGCGCAUUAGCUAGUUGGUGGGGUAACGGCCUACCAAGGCGACGAUGCGUAGCCGACCUGAGAGGGUGACCGGCCACACUGGGACUGAGACACGGGCCCAG